rnacentral:lncRNA from 1 species
UGGACCCCACUUUUUUUUUAACUUCCUCUAUCCAGUGGACUUUGCAUAGGCUUCAAAAUAAUUGGUUUUGUGUAGGGCUCACAUUUAUUUAUUUAUUUAUUUAUUUAUUUUUCCCUGUCUAAGUCUCUGUCUGCGUCAGUUCGAUUUUCACUCUAGUUUUUUUUUUCUCUCGAGUUCGCCCUAACACCUAAUCCUCCAUUUGUGGCCGCUGCUGCUCGACUCCGGUGGCUCCUAUAGCGCUGGAGUCGAGUCUUU